rnacentral:rRNA from 1 species
CCUACGGGGUGCUGCAGUGAGGAAUAUUGGUCAAUGGCCGGAAGGCUGAACCAGCCAUGCCGCGUGAAGGUCAGUGCCCUAUGGGCGUUAAACUUCUUUUGUGCGGGAGCAAUAAUGGUCACGUGUGGCCAGACGAGAGUACCGUACGAAUAAGCAUCGGCUAACUCCGUGCCAGCAGCCGCGGUAAUACGGGGGAUGCAAGCGUUAUCCGGAUUUAUUGGGUUUAAAGGGUGCGUAGGCUGUGAGGUAAGUCAGCGGUGAAAUGCCCCCGCUCAACGGGGUGAAGUGCCAUUGAUACUGCCUGGCUGGAAUGCGGAUGCCGUGGGAGGAAUGUGUGGUGUAGCGGUGAAAUGCAUAGAUAUCACACAGAACACCGAUUGCGAAGGCAUCUCACGAAGCCGCGAUUGACGCUGAUGCACGAAAGCGUGGGUAUCAAACAGGAUUAGAUACCCGAGUAGUC